GUGGGCUGGUAUGAAUGGGUAAACGAGGGUAAAGCUGUCUCUUGUAUAUGACUAAAAGUUAAACUUUAAGUGAAUAUGCUUAAAUAGGGGUAAAAGACAAGAAGACCCCAAGAGCUUUAAUAAAAUCUCAGAUAAGGCUAUAUUUGAGUGUUAUUUUGGUUGGGGCGACAGAGGACUAAACUAUAGCGUCUUUUUUAGUGAAGAAUUUGAUUCUUUGUUGAUCCGUUGUGCGAUUAGAAGAAGUAGCUACCUUGGGGAUAACAGGCUAAUUUAUUCGGAGAGUCCCUAUUGAUGAAUUAAGUUUGGCACCUCGAUGUUGGCUCAGAGUUUCCCACAGGUGCAGGAGUUUGUGAUGGUAGGUUUGUUCACCCUUUAAAACUCUAC
rnacentral:rRNA from 1 species